rnacentral:snoRNA from 1 species
AAACCAUGAUGAGGACACUCUAAGAGAAGAUCCUUAAAACGUUCCAUACACCUAGAAAAUGAUUCAUUAGGUUUUUGACGAAAUUGGAGAAUGUCGUUCCUAAGUUU